UUCUCAACCCCACUCAACCCCACUCAACCCCACUCAAGACUCAACCCUAAACGACAAAGGCACAGCAGCCAUGUUUUAUCGUCUCCCGAUUCCUUUCUUUUCUCGAUUUUCUUUUCUCUUGCAUCUUUGAACGUGAUUGAAACUGUUGGCUGCAGAACAAAAAGAAAGAAACCGACCGACAUGAAAACUUGAUUUGAUGACUCACCCACAGAGAGACAUGCUUGUGCAGCACAAAUGAGUGGUCAUGCAAUGCUACUGGCUUGCCACUCGAACCCUUUAAUUAUAACACAAUCGUGUAAUUGUCUCAAAUUGAAAUGAUCUCAUCAAGAAUUUGAAUUUCGCCCUGCAGCCAAAUGAGAUUUGGAAAUAUUUCUAUGAAAACGCCUUGGCUACACCAACGAAAUGAGAAAGACGAAAGGAAAAAAAAGAAGAACGCGUGUACGACUAUCCGGUAGCAAAUGGGAAGCUGCCGCUACCACUCCAGAGGCGAAAUCCAUUCAUCUUGUUCCAAAAUCUCUCCCUCAGAGAAAACAGAAGAAAUGAUACUCUCUCGCGUAAGAUCCUUUUUUAAAAUUCCAUUAACGGAUAAAAAGGGGAAAGAGAUCUUACCAACGUUUGAAAGCAAUAACCAGAAGGUGGAUGGCAACAGCUCCAGGUGGAAUUCACACACACGCGCAUAAAUAGCCAACAACAAAAAAAUGAAAUUCGGAACGCAUUUUUGUGCCCCAUCUUUCAGCUUUUUCUGAUUCCACUCCAUUAGCAUCACUCGGAUGACUUGCGAAGGAACAAACAAAUCAAGGCUUGUCUGUUAUCUACGGCUGCGUUAUUCGUUAACUAGCGCACUCGUCCAGCUAUUUUAUCCACCUUGAUUUCAAGCGACCCACUAUCUUUUUUUGUUUGUUUGUUCCACGUAACAACGUACCUGCAGCGAUGUGAGUAAAGAAGACUGAUCCCCCUUUAUAUCGCUACGUGGGACCACCGUACACUGUUGCUAUACCUAUAGCAGAGCAGACGUUCCAGGUAAUAAAGAUAAAGACACUCGAAGCAGAAAAAAAAAAAAGGAAAUUCAACUCAUCAAAGUGGAAGGUAAAGCACGGGGGUCGUAUCACACGAUAUCACGGAGGCUUUAUAGUGCAACAGCUGUCCAUUUUUUGUGUGUGUGUGGAACCGACCCACACCCAGGAGCCACCUGCAUUACACGGCCCAGGGAAACGAGAAAGAAAAAAAAAAUCUACCAUAGAAUUAUAUGGCAGCUAUUUAAAAACAGGUAUUUUUAUUUAUUUCAAGCAGGCGGCGUUGUAGCAAAACAAAGUUGUUUUGGAUAAUGGCACGAAUAUAUUUCGUUUGGUUGAUUAAAAUAAUAGAUGGAAUAAAUAAGAUUACACGCAGCAGGAGAGAGCAACGACAGGUAGGGCGAAAGAUUUUCAAUUCAUUCGAAUCACGAAAUUGUUGCAUCGAAUCAGUUCCAUCCAUUCACAAGACAUCCCAUUAUUCUAAUGUUUCAAAUGUGUACUCUAUUCCCCUUCAGAAAGAAAAAAAAGGAAGCAAACGUAACAAAUCGCUGACUUGACGGGAUGAAUUCAUUAUUAUCAUUUUUUUUUUUAACAGAUACAAACGAGAGAAUUUUCAGAAGAAAUAAUCAUAACAACGGGUUUUUUUUCUUUUGUUUUUCUUCUUUGCCCACCCGGACAUACCUACCCGAGUUGCUAGUCCAUCCACUAGUACAAUUACUAGGACAAGAAGGACUUGGCAGCAGUCGGUCAACAUGUGAUUAUUCCAUUAGGACAUUGGGUGGCCGAUCACGCAAUCUCACAUUUCUACUUUUGAUUUUCAUCGUCUCUCUCUCUCGAAAUUUACAAUUUUUUUUUCUUUUUUCUUUGAAAGAAAAGAAUUUAUUUCUUUUCUGAAAGCAAUCUGACAAUGGACGAGGCCGUGAGAAAUCUCUGAUGUUACCCCAAUCGGUUUGUGGCGUGUGUUAUCGUGACUGGUAAACUGCGCCCAGCUUUAUAUAUCCUCCCCCCUUUUUUUUCUUUCUUCUAAGGUCUUACACGUAGGUGAUGCAGCAGCAAAAUCUUGUAAGUUUUAGUAUCUUUUUUUUUUUUUUUCUUUUAAAUCCACAACAAAACGAAUAAUCAAGACAGGAAAUAAAAAGAGAAACGUU